GUUGAAGGAUUUGGAAAAUUCCGCUAAAGAGGGUGAAAGCCCCGUAGACGAAAUGCUGACAACACCUAGGAGGAUCCUGAGUACGGCGGAACACGAGAAAUUCCGUCGGAAUCCGCGGGGACCAUCCCGCAAGGCUAAAUACUCCCUAGUGACCGAUAGUGAACCAGUACCGUGAGGGAAAGGUGAAAAGCACCCCGGAAGGGGAGUGAAAUAGAUCCUGAAACCGUGUGCCUACAACAAGUCAAAGCUCGUUAAUGAGUGAUGGCGUGCCUUUUGUAGAAUGAACCGGCGAGUUACGAUUGCAUGCGAGGUUAAGUCGAAGAGACGGAGCCGCAGCGAAAGCGAGUCUGAAUAGGGCGAAUGAGUAUGUAGUCGUAGACCCGAAACCAUGUGAUCUACCCAUGUCCAGGUUGAAGGUGCGGUAAAACGCACUGGAGGACCGAACCCACGUACGUUGAAAAGUGCGGGGAUGAGGUGUGGGUAGCGGAGAAAUUCCAAACGAACUUGGAGAUAGCUGGUUCUCUCCGAAAUAGCUUUAGGGCUAGCCUCGGAAUUGAGAAUGAUGGAGGUAGAGCACUGUUUGGACUAGGGGCCCAUCUCGGGUUACCGAAUUCAGAUAAACUCCGAAUGCCAUUCAUUUAUAUCCGGGAGUCAGACUGCGAGUGAUAAGAUCCGUAGUCGAAAGGGAAACAGCCCAGACCACCAGCUAAGGUCCCAAAAUAUAUGUUAAGUGGAAAAGGAUGUGGGGUUGCACAGACAACUAGGAUGUUGGCUUAGAAGCAGCCACCAUUUAAAGAGUGCGUAAUAGCUCACUAGUCGAGUGACCCUGCGCCGAAAAUGUACCGGGGCUAAACAUAUUACCGAAGCUGUGGACUACACCAUUAGGUGUAGUGGUAGGAGAGCGUUCUAAGGGCGUUGAAGGUCGAUCGUGAGGACGGCUGGAGCGCUUAGAAGUGAGAAUGCCGGUAUGAGUAGCGAAAGACAGGUGAGAAUCCUGUCCACCGUAUGACUAAGGUUUCCUGGGGAAGGCUCGUCCGCCCAGGGUUAGUCGGGACCUAAGCCGAGGCCGAUAGGCGUAGGCGAUGGACAACAGGUUGAUAUUCCUGUACCAGUUGUUUUUGUUUGAGCAAUGGAGGGACGCAGUAGGCUAAGGAAUGCAUGCGAUUGGAAGUGCAUGUCCAAGCAAUGAGUCUUGAGUAGAGUUAAAUGCUUUACUCUUUAAGGACAAGUUGUGACGGGGAGCGAAAUAAUAGUAGCGAAGUUCCUGAUGUCACACUGCCAAGAAAAGCUUCUAGUGAGAAAACAACUGCCCGUACCGUAAACCGACACAGGUAGUCGAGGAGAGUAUCCUAAGGUGAGCGAGCGAACUCUCGUUAAGGAACUCGGCAAAAUGACCCCGUAACUUCGGGAGAAGGGGUGCUGACUUCGGUCAGCCGCAGUGAAUAGGCCCAAGCGACUGUUUAUCAAAAACACAGGUCUCUGCAAAAUCGUAAGAUGAAGUAUAGGGGCUGACGCCUGCCCGGUGCUGGAAGGUUAAGAGGAUGGGUUAGCUUCGGCGAAGCUCAGAAUUGAAGCCCCAGUAAACGGCGGCCGUAACUAUAACGGUCCUAAGGUAGCGAAAUUCCUUGUCGGGUAAGUUCCGACCCGCACGAAAGGCGUAACGAUUUGGGCACUGUCUCAACGAGAGACUCGGUGAAAUUUUAGUACCUGUGAAGAUGCAGGUUACCCGCGACAGGACGGAAAGACCCCAUGGAGCUUUACUGUAGUUUGAUAUUGAGUGUUUGUACCACAUGUACAGGAUAGGUAGGAGCCGAUGAGACCGGA
rnacentral:rRNA from 1 species